UUUUGAAGUAAAAGCUCAGCUCUGAUUUGUUUGUUGGGUUUUUGUUUGUUUGUUUGUUUGUUUGUUUGUUUUUUUCCCCUUUGGCCAUGCCUUGUCACCUGGACUGUUCUACAGCAUCCGUCCCUGGAAAACUUUGAGAUGUGCUCCCUGACAUACGCAAUUUUUUCUCCAAGAUAGCUUUUCCUAGAAGCUUAGUUUACUGUUGCUAUAAUGACCUUACAAUCUGUACCAGUUUUGUCUUCUGGAUGUGAUUCUGUGAAGUCUUGCACAGCCUCAACACCUACUCCCAUAAGUGGCCAAAAUUAGAAUUACACAGCAUGUCAUCCUUUAUUACUACAGGAUAUCACUUGCUGAGUUAUGGAGGUUUCACCAUUGUGGUGGUAGUUUGUGUCUUGGACAUUUUAUCUGUGUGCAAUCAGAGAAAAAAAAAACUCUCUAAAUUGGACUGCAAGUCUACAUCUGCCAAGAACUUCUGCUCUUUUGUGAAUCCUGCUGCAAACGAUGACUCCUGUGGAUCAGAGUCUGGGGAACUGACAUUGGGGUGAGUUUUAUUGUUCUUCAGCCUCCUUUGCAUUACUGUACAACCAUGGCUGCUGUUGAUGGAACUCCAGCUCCAGCAUAUGUGUUUGCCUCAGCUGGAGCAGAGGAUGUGGCUCAUGGAAACUGCAGGUGGAUCUAUUUAUCCAGGCUAGCAAUGGCCUUCUAUAGUGUUGAGGAACAUAGUGAUUGAUGAUUCCCAGGCCAGCAAGCAACAACAGUUGCUAUGUGCUUAGACUGCUGACACCAUGCUAUAACCUGCAAAAUUCCUCUGCCUGAGUUGGCUUUUGUUCUCACUACCAUUUCAUGCAGAUACUCUGGCCAGGCUGUCUGUGCUUGACUGCAGGCCACAAGGAGCAGCGAGGGACAAUGGCACAAGUCUGGACAGAGUCAUAAUCCCACUACAGGCUGUCCUAGAGGUAACUUUCAUCUUCAUAACAUGAAUCUUAUUAUUUCAAAGAAGUUCAAGAUGAUACAAGCAUGUUUGUCAUGGAAUUUUGCUCCAUGUCAUGAAAAGAAAACUUUUUUUUUGUUCUGUGUGUGGAUAUUGA
rnacentral:lncRNA from 1 species